rfam:Triticum aestivum genome assembly, contig: Triticum_aestivum_CS42_TGACv1_scaffold_221045_3B
GCCCGUCUAGCUCAGUCCGUAGAGCGCAAGGCUCUUAAUCUUGUGGUCUUGGGUUUGAGCGCCAAGGAGGGCG